rnacentral:rRNA from 1 species
UAAGACGUAGGGGGCGAGCGUUGUCCGGAUUUAUUGGGCGUAAAGCGCGCGUAGGCGGUUCGUUAAGUCGGGUGUGAAAACCCGGGGCUCAACCCCGGGCCUGCAUCCGAUACUGGCGGACUCGAGGCAGACAGGGGAGAGUGGAAUUCCCGGUGUAGCGGUGAAAUGCGCAGAUAUCGGGAGGAACACCGGUGGCGAAGGCGGCUCUCUGGGUCUGUCCUGACGCUCAGGCGCGAAAGCUAGGGGAGCAAACAGGAUUAGAUACCCUGGUAGUCCUAGCCGUAAACGUUGGGUGCUAGGUGUGGGGCGGCGUUCGACCCGCUCCGUGCCGAAGCUAACGCAUUAAGCACCCCGCCUGGGGAGUACGGCCGCAAGGCUA